rnacentral:miRNA from 1 species
AUGAAAGAUAAAAGUGGUCGGCA